rnacentral:rRNA from 1 species
AGCAGCCGCGGUAAUUCCAGCUCCAAUAGCGUAUAUUAAAGUUGUUGCAGUUAAAAAGCUCGUAGUUGAAUUUCGGGAUCAAUUUAUUGGUCGUGCUAUUGUACGUACUGGUAUUAUUGAUUCCUACCUUCUGACGAACCAUGAUGUCAUUAAUUUGGUGUCAUGGGGAAUCAGGACUGUUACUUUGAAAAAUUAGAGUGUUUAAAGCAGGCUCACGCUUGAAUACAUUAGCAUGGAAUAACGAAAUAGGACGUUUGAUUCUAUUUUGUUGGUUUCUAGGAUCGACGUAAUGAUUAAUAGGGAUAGUUGGGGGCAUUAGUAUUCAAUUGUCAGAGGUGAAAUUCUUGGAUUUAUUGAAGACUAACUACUGCGAAAGCAUUUGCCAAGGAUGUUUUCAUUAAUCAAGAACGAAAGUUAGGGGAUCGAAGACGAUCAGAUACCGUCGUAGUCUUAACCAUAAACUAUGCCGACUAGGGAUCGGAUGAUGUUAAUUUUUAAUGUACUCAUUCGGCGUA